rnacentral:rRNA from 1 species
UACGGAGGGUGCAAGCGUUAUCCGGAUUCACUGGGUUUAAAGGGUGCGUAGGUGGGCUGGUAAGUCAGUGGUGAAAUCUCCAGGCUUAACUUGGAAACUGCCAUUGAUACUAUCAGUCUUGAAUACCGUGGAGGUCAGCGGAAUAUGUCAUGUAGCGGUGAAAUGCUUAGAUAUGACAUAGAACACCAAUUGCGAAGGCAGCUGGCUACACGAAUAUUGACGCUGAGGUGCGAAAGCGUGGGGAGCAAACAGG